CACCUAAAAAAUCUAACUCUCUGGGUACCUUUACCAGAUGCUAUCUCACCAUGUUGGUCUUUGUUGUUGCGUUUAUGAUCCUAUGGAAGAGUUGGAACUGGGAAAUUCAAUUCCUUUUGUGUUUUUGCAUGCUCGGCUCAUCCUGUGAAUUAGAUUGAUUGCUUCCCAAACAAAACGCCUUUGUGGUUUCCCGGACAACAGGGGGCGAUUUGGACCAAGGAAAUCCAGUC